rnacentral:rRNA from 1 species
AUUGAACGCUGGCGGCAGGCCUAACACAUGCAAGUCGAGCGGAUGAAGGGAGCUUGCUCCUGGAUUCAGCGGCGGACGGGUGAGUAAUGCCUAGGAAUCUGCCUGGUAGUGGGGGAUAACGUCCGGAAACGGGCGCUAAUACCGCAUACGUCCUGAGGGAGAAAGUGGGGGAUCUUCGGACCUCACGCUAUCAGAUGAGCCUAGGUCGGAUUAGCUAGUUGGUGGGGUAAAGGCCUACCAAGGCGACGAUCCGUAACUGGUCUGAGAGGAUGAUCAGUCACACUGGAACUGAGACACGGUCCAGACUCCUACGGGAGGCAGCAGUGGGGAAUAUUGGACAAUGGGCGAAAGCCUGAUCCAGCCAUGCCGCGUGUGUGAAGAAGGCCUUCGGAUUGUAAAGCACUUUAAGUUGGGAGGAAGGGCAGUAAGUUAAUACCUUGCUGUUUUGACGUUACCAACAGAAUAAGCACCGGCUAACUUCGUGC